AUUGAACGCUGGCGGAAUGCUUUACACAUGCAAGUCGAACGGUAGAGGGGGCAACCCCUCGAGAGUGGCGAACGGGUGAGUAAUAUAUCGGAACGUGCCCAGUCGUGGGGGAUAACGUAGCGAAAGUUACGCUAAUACCGCAUACGAUCUAAGGAUGAAAGCGGGGGAUCGCAAGACCUCGCGCGAUUGGAGCGGCCGAUAUCAGAUUAGGUAGUUGGUGGGGUAAAGGCUCACCAAGCCAACGAUCUGUAGCUGGUCUGUGAGGACGACCCGCCACACUGGAACGGAGACACGGUCCAGACUCCUACGGGAGGCAGCAGUGGGGAAUUUUGGACAAUGGCCGCAGGUCUGAUCCAGCCAUUCCGCGUGCAGGAUGAAGGCCCUCGGUUUGUAAACUGCUUUUGUACGGAACGAAAAGGUCUCUCUUAAUACGGGGGACUCAUGACGGUACCGUAAGAAUAAGCACCGGCUAACUACGUGCCAGCCGCCGCCGUAA
rnacentral:rRNA from 1 species